rnacentral:rRNA from 1 species
AAAUUGAAGAGUUUGAUCAUGGCUCAGAUUGAACGCUGGCGGCAGGCCUAACACAUGCAAGUCGAACGGUAACAGGAAGAUGCUUGCUUCUUUGCUGACGAGUGGCGGACGGGUGAGUAAUGUCUGGGAAACUGCCUGAUGGAGAGGGAUAACUACUGGAAACGGUAGCUAAUACCGCAUAACGUCGCAAGACCAAAGAGGGGGACCUUCGGGCCUCUUGCCAUC